AGAGUUUGAUCCUGGCUCAGGAUGAACGCUAGCGAUAGGCUUAACACAUGCAAGUCGAGGGGCAGCACGCUUUCGGGUGGUGGCGACCGGCGCACGGGUGAGUAACGCGUAUGCAACCUACCCAUAACACGGGGAUAGCCCGGAGAAAUCCGGAUUAAUACCCGAUAACACAGGGAUACCGCAUGGUAUUAUUUGUUAAAGAUUUAUUGGUUAUGGAUGGGCAUGCGUUCCAUUAGAUAGUUGGUAGGGUAACGGCCUACCAAGUCAGCGAUGGAUAGGGGUUCUGAGAGGAAGGUCCCCCACACUGGUACUGAGACACGGACCAGACUCCUACGGGAGGCAGCAGUGAGGAAUAGGUCGAGAGACUGAACCAGCCAAAUCGCGUGAAGGAUGACGGUAUUAUGUAUUGUAAACUUCUUUUAUAUGGGAAUAAAAAGAGUUACGAGUAACUUAUUGUAUGUACCAUAUGAAUAAGCAUCGGCUAACUCCGUGCCAGCAGCCGCGGUAAUACGGAGGAUGCGAGCGUUAUCCGGAUUUAUUGGGUUUAAAGGGUGCGUAGGUUGUUUUUUAAGUCAGCGGUGAAAUUUUAAUGCUUAACAUUAACAUUGCCGUUGAAACUGGGGAACUUGAGUGUGAACGAGGUAGGCGGAAUUCGUAGUGUAGCGGUGAAAUGCAUAGAUAUUACGAAGAACUCCGAUAGCGCAGGCAGCUUACCAGGCCACAACUGACACUGAAGCACGAAAGUGUGGGUAUCAAACAGGAUUAGAUACCCUGGUAGUCCACACAGUAAACGAUGAUUACUCGCUGUUUGCGAUAUACAGUAAGCGGCCAAGCGAAAGCGUUAAGUAAUCCACCUGGGGAGUACGCCGGCAACGGUGAAACUCAAAGGAAUUGACGGGGGCCCGCACAAGCGGAGGAACAUGUG
rnacentral:rRNA from 1 species